rnacentral:rRNA from 1 species
GACGAACGCUGGCGGCGUGCCUAAUACAUGCAAGUAGAACGCACAGUUUAUACCGUAGCUUGCUACACCAUAGACUGUGAGUUGCGAACGGGUGAGUAACGCGUAGGUAACCUGCCUGGUAGCGGGGGAUAACUAUUGGAAACGAUAGCUAAUACCGCAUAAUAUUGAUUAUUGCAUGAUAAUUAAUUGAAAGGUGCAAUUGCACCACUACCAGAUGGACCUGCGUUGUAUUAGCUAGUAGGUGAGGUAACGGCUCACCUAGGCGACGAUACAUAGCCGACCUGAGAGGGUGAUCGGCCACACUGGGACUGAGACACGGCCCAGACUCCUACGGGAGGCAGCAGUAGGGAAUCUUCGGCAAUGGACGAAAGUCUGACCGAGCAACGCCGCGUGAGUGAAGAAGGUUGUCGGAUCGUAAAGCUCUGUUGUAAGAGAAGAACGGGUGUGAGAGCGGAAAGUUCACACUGUGACGGUAUCUUACCAGAAAGGGACGGCUAACUACGUG